CCUACGGGUGGCAGCAGUGAGGAAUAUUGGUCAAUGGGCGCGAGCCUGAACCAGCCAAGUAGCGUGGAGGAUGACUGCCCUACGGGUUGUAAACUUCUUUUAUAAAGGAAUAAAAUGAGGCACGUGUGCCUUUUUGUAUGUACUUUAUGACUACAGAUCUGCUAACUCCGUGCCAGCAGCCGCGGUAAUACGGAGGCUCCGAGCGUUAUCCGGAUUUCUUGGGUUUAAAGGGAGCGUAGAUGGGUUGUUAAGUCAGUUGUGAAAGUUUGCGGCUCAACCGUAAAAUUGCAAUUGAUACUGGCAGCAUUGAGUACAGUUGAGGUAGGCGGAAUUCGUGGUGUAGCGGUGAAAUGCUGAGAUAUCACGAAGAACUCCGAUUGCGAAGGCAGCCUACUAAACUGCCACUGACAUUGAUGCUCGAAAGUGUGGGGAUCAAACAGGAUUAGAUACCCUUGUAGUC
rnacentral:rRNA from 1 species